UUACGGCCAUAUCACGUUGAAACACUAGUUCCGGUACGAUCAGCGAAGUUAAGCAAUUUCGAGCCCAGUCAGUACUUAGAUAGGUAACCACUUGGAAAUAUCAGGUGCUGUAAG